UACGAGGGGGGCGAGCGUUGUUCGGAAUUAUUGGGCGUAAAGGGCGCGUAGGUGGCGGGACAAGCGGGGGGUGAAAGCUCGGGGCUCAACCCCGCGUCGGCCGUGCGAACUGUUUUGCUUGAGCACUGUAGAGGCAGGCGGAAUUCCGGGUGUAGCGGUGGAAUGCGUAGAGAUCCGGAAGAACACCGGUGGCGAAGGCGGCCUGCUGGGCAGUAGCUGACACUGAGGCGCGACAGCGUGGGGAGCAAACAGG
rnacentral:rRNA from 1 species